rnacentral:rRNA from 1 species
UACAGAGGGUGCGAGCGUUAAUCGGAAUUACUGGGCGUAAAGCGUGCGUAGACGGCUAUCUAAGUCGGGUGUGAAAGCCCCGGGCUCAACCUGGGAAUUGCAUUCGAGACUGAAUAGCUAGGGUACGGUAGAGGGAAGUGGAAUUUCCGGUGUAGCGGUGAAAUGCGUAGAUAUCGGAAAGAACAUCAGUGGCGAAAGCGACUUCCUGGACCAGUACCGACGUUCAGGCACGAAAGCGUGGGGAGCAAACAGG